ACUACGGGUGACAGCAGUGGGGGAUAUUGCACAAUGGGGGGAACCCUGAUGCAGCGACGCCGCGUGGGUGAAGAAGCGCCUCGGCGCGUAAAGCCCUGUCAGCAGGGAAGAAAAUGACGGUACCUGAAGAAGAAGCCCCGGCUAACUACGUGCCAGCAGCCGCGGUAAUACGUAGGGGGCAAGCGUUAUCCGUAUUUACUGGGUGUAAAGGGAGCGCAGGCGGGAAGCCAAGUAAGCUGUGAAAACUACGGGCUCAACCCCCGAACUGCAUUUGAAACUGUUGGUCGUGAGUAUCGGAGAGGCAGGCGGAAUUCCUGGUGUAGCGGUGAAAUGCGGAGAUAUUAGGAGGAACACCAGUGGCGAAGGCGGCCUGCUGGACGACAACUGACGGUGAGGCGCGAAAGCGUGGGGAGCAAACAGGAUUAGAUACCCUUGUAGUC
rnacentral:rRNA from 1 species